rnacentral:rRNA from 1 species
CGGGCAUUUUGGGAAACUGGAAUGCUAGUGGCAAACGGGUGAGUAACACGUGGGUGACCUACCUCAGAGUGGGGAACAACAGACCGAAAGGUUUGCUAAUACCGCAUAUGCUCGAUAAUUCAUUUUGUCGUGCAAAGGCGCAAGUCGCUCUGAGAGGGGCCCGCGUCCCAUCAGGUAGUUGGUGAGGUAAUGGCCCACCAAGCCGAUGACGGGUAGCUGUUCUGAGAGGAAGAUCAGCCACAAUGGAACUGAGAUACGGUCCAUACUCCUACGGGAGGCAGCAGUGAGGAAUAUUGCACAAUGGACGAAAGUCUGAUGCAGCGACGCCGCGUGGGUGACGAAGGCCUUCGGGUCGUAAAACCCUUUUGGCAGGGACGAGUGAGGACGGUACCUGCAGAAUAAGUCUCGGCUAACUACGUGCCAGCAGCCGCGGUAAAACGUAGGAGGCGAGCGUUAUCCGGAUUUACUGGGCGUAAAGCGUGCGUAGGCGGUUGGUCAAGUCAGAUGUUAAAGCCCCUGGCUCAACUGGGGGAGGUCAUUUGAUACUGAUCGGCUUGAGGGUGAGAGAGGAGAGUGGAAUUCCCGGUGUAGCGGUGGAAUGCGUAGAGAUCGGGAGGAACACCAGUGGCGAAAGCGGCUCUCUGGCUCACUUCUGACGCUGAGUGCACGAAAGCGUGGGUAGCAAACGGGAUUAGAUA